rnacentral:rRNA from 1 species
CGCAACCCCAGGUCAGGCGGGGU